UAAACGUCUCGGUUCGGAUUGUAGUCUGCAACUCGACUACAUGAAGCUGGAAUCGCUAGUAAUCGCGGAUCAGAAUGCCGCGGUGAAUACGUUCCCGGGUCUUGUACACACCGCCCGUCACACCAUGGGAGUCGGAAAUGCCCGAAGCCAGUGACCCAACUGAAAGGAGGGAGCUGUCGAAGGCAGGUCUGAUAACUGGGGUGAAGUCGUAACAAGGUAGC
rnacentral:rRNA from 1 species